rnacentral:rRNA from 1 species
GACGAACGCUGGCGGCGUGCUUAACACAUGCAAGUCGAACGGAAAGGCCCUGCUUUUGUGGGGUGCUCGAGUGGCGAACGGGUGAGUAACACGUGAGUAACCUGCCCUUGACUUUGGGAUAACUUCAGGAAACUGGGGCUAAUACCGGAUAGGAGCUCCUGCUGCAUGGUGGGGGUUGGAAAGUUUCGGCGGUUGGGGAUGGACUCGCGGCUUAUCAGCUUGUUGGUGGGGUAGUGGCUUACCAAGGCUUUGACGGGUAGCCGGCCUGAGAGGGUGACCGGCCACAUUGGGACUGAGAGACGGCAGAGACGCCUACGGUAGGCAGCAGUGGGGAAUAUUGCACAAUGGGCGGAAGCCUGAUGCAGCAGCGCCGCGUGCGGGAAGACGGCCUUCGGGUUAUAAACCGCUUUCGCCUGUGACGAAGCGUGAGUGACGGUAAUGGGUAAAGAAGCACCGGCUAACUACGUG